AAAUUGAAGAGUUUGAUCAUGGCUCAGAUUGAACGCUGGCGGCAGGCCUAACACAUGCAAGUCGAACGGUAACAGGAAGCAGCUUGCUGCUUCGCUGACGAGUGGCGGACGGGUGAGUAAUGUCUGGGAAACUGCCUGAUGGAGGGGGAUAACUACUGGAAACGGUAGCUAAUACCGCAUAACGUCGCAAGACCAAAGAGGGGG
rnacentral:rRNA from 5 species